UAUAAGCUUUGGUGGUGCACUAUUCUAGUUGCAUUGUCUAUUACGAGGGUGGGGCUAAAAAUCCACUAAAGGGCGUAUCGUUGAAGUUUCUUGUUUGUGCGCGGAAUGCCAGUUUUGUGUGUUUUCAGGAAGUAAGAAGGUAGGGCAAUAUGUAAUGGCAUACAUAGAAAAACAGACCCUGCUUUCGCGGAGGCUUAAAUAGUUCAUUUUUUAAGUAUAACCUAUAUAAAGUGCCAAGACACAAUAUAUAGUGUAGCCUGUCUUGAGUGGUAGUCUUGGGAUUAAUUUAAGUAUCAUUAAAAUUUGGCCAAAUUUUGUUGUUACGAUAGUUAUGAAAUCACUACUGCAAAAGAGACUAGUAAUAGGUUGCAAUGUAUUAAGGAAAACUUCUAGAGUGUUUGUUAUGUAAUUAACAUGAAAAUUUAAGGAUUAAAGUACGGAUUUAAGUGGUGAUCUGGUGGCCUUGUUAUCCUUAGGAUAUUUCUUUUAAAUGGAAACGGCUAAACAGUAAUGUUUAGUAAGAAAUAGAGAAAUUCUACUAGACCUAAACCGUAGAAUUUACUUAAGUUUUACCACCUAUAAAUUUAA
rnacentral:sRNA from 1 species